UUUUUUUUGCAGGAAGCUGGAAGCCAUUCUCUUGAAGCCCAGCCCACAGACUGGUGUUCUGCACAUUCAAAGCAACUCUCCCCUUCAGGUCAAUCUUCACCAGAAACAUCCUUAAAGAUACAUCCAAAGGUUUCACAAAAGAGAGCCUCUGGAUAUGUCCGUUUCCUACCAUGGCAGAAAUGAUUAUAGCUGCAACAAACCCUCAGCAAUUUUAAUAAACUACUGUGAGAUCUGAAUGAAAUGUCAGAGCAUCUGGCACUAUUCAGUAAGGUCUCUGGAUAGAGGGCUCAAUCCUCCUUUGUGUUGUUCAAGUACCUGCAGAUGAGAGGUGCCAGUCUUUCCUUAUAUCAGACAUAGAUUUCUUCAGAGCUUCAAAACUGCUGAAAUAACCUGUGAUGUUUUAGAGGCUGCUACCUGGAAGGAUUUACUAUCCUCCAGGCAAAUAUAAUAAAGAUGUUCUAUGAUAUUCUUUGAAAAUCUAUAGAUUAAAUUUCUCAAUAAACAUACUGUAUGAGGGAUGGAAGUUCUUGUGCUCACGGCUUAGAUUCAUCUGUGAAUAGUGACCUCAACUGAGGAACUGUCUUCAUCAAGUUGACAUGUGUAAGCAUGCCUGUGGGGACUGGGUUUCCUUGAUCCUUUUUGAUGUAGGAGGGCCCAGCAUAUUGUGAGCAGUGUCAUCCCUAGGCAGGUGAUACUAGGGUGCAUUACAAAGUUAGCUAAAUAUAAGUUACUGAGAAACUCAGUAAGCCAUGUUUCUCUCUGGUUUUUGCUUCAAGUUGCUAUUUGACUUCUAUGAUGGACUGUAGCCUGUAAAUUGAAUAAGCACUUUCUUUCCUUGUG